GAUGAACGCUGGCGGCGUGCCUAAUACAUGCAAGUCGAGCGAACGGACGAGAAGCUUGCUUCUCUGAUGUUAGCGGCGGACGGGUGAGUAACACGUGGAUAACCUACCUAUAAGACUGGGAUAACUUCGGGAAACCGGAGCUAAUACCGGAUAAUAUUUUGAACCGCAUGGUUCAAAAGUGAAAGACGGUCUUGCUGUCACUUAUAGAUGGAUCCGCGCUGCAUUAGCUAGUUGGUAAGGUAACGGCUUACCAAGGCAACGAUGCAUAGCCGACCUGAGAGGGUGAUCGGCCACACUGGAACUGAGACACGGUCCAGACUCCUACGGGAGGCAGCAGUAGGGAAUCUUCCGCAAUGGGCGAAAGCCUGACGGAGCAACGCCGCGUGAGUGAUGAAGGUCUUCGGAUCGUAAAACUCUGUUAUUAGGGAAGAACAUAUGUGUAAGUAACUGUGCACAUCUUGACGGUACCUAAUCAGAAAGCCACGGCUAACUACGUGCCAGCAGCCGCGGUAAUACGUAGGUGGCAAGCGUUAUCCGGAAUUAUUGGGCGUAAAGCGCGCGUAGGCGGUUUUUUAAGUCUGAUGUGAAAGCCCACGGCUCAACCGUGGAGGGUCAUUGGAAACUGGAAAACUUGAGUGCAGAAGAGGAAAGUGGAAUUCCAUGUGUAGCGGUGAAAUGCGCAGAGAUAUGGAGGAACACCAGUGGCGAAGGCGACUUUCUGGUCUGUAACUGACGCUGAUGUGCGAAAGCGUGGGGAUCAAACAGGAUUAGAUACCCUGGUAGUCCACGCUGUAAACGAUGAGUGCUAAGUGUUAGGGGGUUUCCGCCCCUUAGUGCUGCAGCUAACGCAUUAAGCACUCCGCCUGGGGAGUACGACCGCAAGGUUGAAACUCAAAGGAAUUGACGGGGACCCGCACAAGCGGUGGAGCAUGUGGUUUAAUUCGAAGCAACGCGAAGAACCUUACCAAAUCUUGACAUCCUUUGACAACUCUAGAGAUAGAGCCUUCCCCUUCGGGGGACAAAGUGACAGGUGGUGCAUGGUUGUCGUCAGCUCGUGUCGUGAGAUGUUGGGUUAAGUCCCGCAACGAGCGCAACCCUUAAGCUUAGUUGCCAUCAUUAAGUUGGGCACUCUAAGUUGACUGCCGGUGACAAACCGGAGGAAGGUGGGGAUGACGUCAAAUCAUCAUGCCCCUUAUGAUUUGGGCUACACACGUGCUACAAUGGACAAUACAAAGGGCAGCGAAACCGCGAGGUCAAGCAAAUCCCAUAAAGUUGUUCUCAGUUCGGAUUGUAGUCUGCAACUCGACUACAUGAAGCUGGAAUCGCUAGUAAUCGUAGAUCAGCAUGCUACGGUGAAUACGUUCCCGGGUCU
rnacentral:rRNA from 1 species